GAACUCCAAAAGAGAUAAGCCCCCAGACCUUUGGUGGUGGCGGUGCAAACGCGCCUCUCAGAUUUCAGACUGGUCCCCGCUACUGUGCCCGGAUCAUGGCCAUCACUGUUUGCACUGAGGCCCUCAGGCUGCUUCCAGCCAUUGACUCCGGCAGGUCCCCUCUUGGAGAUGCAAGACCCCCCCCGACAGACAAGUUGGCACAAGGAUUCCCCAAGGGCUUGCUACUUUCUUAGAUCUGAACCACAACCUGAGACUCUUCACCCCACCUUCUGUCCUGCCCUCUCUCCUCCGCAGGGUCCAAACUACGUCACAGUCUGACGUCCCUCCCAACUUCCCCCUGGCUCCCCGCCCAUCUUCCCUCACAGGUGUCCCCCAUAAAUCUCUUGCACAUAGAGUCCUGUCUUGGUGUCUGCUUCUUCAAGGACCAGAACGAAUUCUGACCUCUGCAGAAAUUGGACGGAUCCUGGAGGAAGACCGCAGACCGCCACGGCUUAACCAAGGGGGAGCCCUGCUCGCAGCUGCUGUGCCUGACGUGGAGUCCUUGCCGGAGCAGGUUCACGAGGCCUUAGGUAUGUGGCCAGCAGUAAUUCAGUGCCUGUGGUCUUUUCCAUUCCAAUUAGAAAAGAGGAUCAGAAACAGUUCACAUUCACAUGGGAUGGACAACAAUAUUCAUUUACACUUUUGCCUCGGGGCUAUGUUAACUGUCUCUCUGACUUAAUAUAAUCCCAAGAGAUCAGGACCAUGAUCCCACAGAACAUCACCCUGAUCCAUUGCAUCGCUGCGCCAUGCUGGUUAGACAGGAUGAGCAAGAGGUGUCCCUAUGCUGGAAGCCGCGGCUAAGUCACAUGCACUCCAGAGUGCGGCAUAUAAAACCUAUGACGAUUCAAAGACCUACCACUUCAAUGAAGUUUUGAAGGGGUUCAGUGGUCAGGGGGAUGCCAAGAUAUCCCCUCCCAAGUAAACGAAAUGGCUGCAUUUUGUAUUUCUUACCACAAGAAAGCACAAUGCCUGGUAACCCUCUUGGGGUUAGAGACAACCCAUUAUUCUGGGUGACAAGGAAGGCUGCCAGCUGUAGGUGGGCCCCAGGACGGGAAGAGGCUCUGCUGAAGGUUUAGGCUGCAGUGCAAGCAGUCCUGCCAUUUGGGUUAUGCUGUUUGGCAGACUCUCUGGUGCUGGAAUAGUCAAUAGUGGGAGAGGGAAAAGGUGUAGUUGGAGCUUAUGUCAAGUCCCAGUGGGAGAAGUGUAGAGCAGGACCCUGGGAUUCCAUGGCAAGGCCACACCAUCGGCAACAGAGGGCUGCAUGCCUUUUGAGAAACUGUUUCUGGCAUGUUACUGGGGUCUGGUAGAGACAGAACACUCGCCCAGGGCACACCAAGUGGGACAUCUGAAACUGCCCUCUGAGCUGGGUUCUGUUGGAUGCAUCAAGUCAUAAAGUCAGAUGGGGCUGACAGCAGUCCGUCAUAAGACAGAAAUGCUGCCUCUGGGACUGAGCCAGACUGAGGCAGAGGGCAUGAGUAAACUGCAUGAGGACAUAGCCAGAGCCCAUUCUCUGGCUUGUACUUAUGGUCGCAUGGAGGGUUCUGUACAACCAACUGAAAGAGGAGGAAAAAGCCUGAGCUUGGUUUAUGGAUGGGUCAAAGUGGCACAUGGGUACAAGCUGAAGAUGGACAGUGGCUGUAUGACAGGUGUAAGGGAAAGGGAAAAUAUUCUUCCUGGAUAGAGCUGUGAGCAGAGUGCUUGCUCACCUACCUUGUUGCACAAGAAAAAGUGGCCCAAGGUGGUGAGAAUAUAUACACCCUCUUGGGCAGUGGCCAAUGGUCUGGCCAUUUGUUCAGGGGCCUGGAAGGAAAAGGACUGGCAGAUUGGGGACAAGGAGGUGUGAGGUAGAGGCAUGUGGAUGGAUGCAGGAGAUAAAGCAUGAAGCGUGAGGGUUGCAGUACCACACACUAAUGCCCAUUAGAAAGCACUCGAAACAGAAGCAGCAGUGAAUAAGCAAGGAAAGAAAAUGUCUUGGACAGUUGACACAAGCCAGUCCUUGUCAUUGGCUACUCUGGAACUGGCAUGAUGGGCAUAUGAGUGGAAUGGCCACAGUGGCAGAGGCAGAAGCCACAGAGGGGCUAACAUGGGCCCAGCAGCACGGACUCCCUAGGAACUGCUGCCUCUGAAUGUCCAACCCAUCAGCAAAAGAGACCAGUGCUGAGCCCCUGCAGUGGCACUGUGUCUCAAGGAGCCCAACUCACCGCUUGAAGGCAAGUCAACUGCAUCAGGCUCCUUCCAUCCCGAAGCGUCAGCGGUUCACCCUCUUUGGGAAAGAGAUCUAUUAUGGGUUUGCCUUUCCUGACCACAGAGCCUCAGUCAGCACUGCUGUCCAGGGACUUACAGAACGC
rnacentral:lncRNA from 1 species